GACGAACGCUGGCGGCGUGCUUAACACAUGCAAGUCGAACGGAAAGGCCCUGCUUUUGUGGGGUGCUCGAGUGGCGAACGGGUGAGUAACACGUGAGUAACCUGCCCUUGACUUUGGGAUAACUUCAUGAAACUGGGGCUAAUAACGGAUAGGAGCUCCUGCUGCAUGGUGGGGGUUGGAAAGUUUCGGCGGUUGGGGAUGGACUCGCGGCUUAUCAGCUUGUUGGUGGGGUAGUGGCUUACCAAGGCUUUGACGGGUAGCCGGCCUGAGAGGGUGACCGGCCACAUUGGGACUGAGAUACGGCCAAGACUCCUACGGGAGGCAGAAGUGGGGAAUAUUGAACAAUGGGCGGAAGCCUGAUGCAGCAACGCCGCGUGCGGGAUGACGGCCUUCGGGUUGUAAACCGCUUUCGCCUGUGACGAAGCGUGAGUGACGGUAAUGGGUAAAGAAGCACCGGCUAACUACGUG
rnacentral:rRNA from 1 species